AAUGAACGUUGGCGGCGUGGAUUAGGCAUGCAAGUCGAGCGCGAUAUGUAGCAAUACAUGGAGAGCGGCGAAAGGGAGAGUAAUACGUAGGUAUCUACCCUCGGGUCUGGGAUAGCAGCGGGAAACUGCUGGUAAUACCAGAUAACGUCUCCGGACCAAAGGUGUGAUUCCACCUGAGGAGGAGCCUACGGCCUAUUAGCUAGUUGGUAGGGUAACGGCCUACCAAGGCAAAGAUGGGUAUGGGGUGUGAGAGCAUGCCCCCACUCGCUGGGACUGAGACACUGCCCAGACACCUACGGGUGGCUGCAGUCGAGAAUCUUCGGCAAUGGGCGAAAGCCUGACCGAGCGACGCCGCGUGCGGGAUGAAGGCCUUCGGGUUGUAAACCGCUGUCGUAGUGGAGGAAAUGUAGGAGAGUUAUCUCUUCUACUUGACUAAUACUAGGAGGAAGGACCGGCUAAUCUCGUGCCAGCAGCCGCCGUAA
rnacentral:rRNA from 1 species